UGACACAGGGAGGUAGUGACAAGAAAUAACAAUACAGGGCUUUCGUCUUGUAAUUGGAAUGAUGGUGAUGUACAACCUCACCAGAGUACCAAUUGGAGGGCAAGUCUGGUGCCAGCAGCCGCGGUAAUUCCAGCUCCAAUAGCGUAUAUUAAACUUGUUGCAGUUAAAAAGCUCGUAGUUGUAUUUCAGCCUCGCGUUUUUUCCCUUUUGUUGGGUCUUUUCGCUGGCUUUUUUUUUACUUUGAGAAAAUUAGAGUGUUUCAAGCAGACUUUUGUCUUGAAUACUUCAGCAUGGAAUAAUAGAGUAGGACCUUGGUUCUAUUUUGUUGGUUUCGAGCCUUGGUAAUGGUUAAUAGGAACGGUUGGGGGCAUUCGUAUUUAACUGUCAGAGGUGAAAUUCUUAGA
rnacentral:rRNA from 1 species